GCUGGGCGCCGGGCCUGUUUGGCUGUGACGCCCACCCCCGGCUUUCAUCCGCCUAUGCCCUAGGGCUAGUGGAAGACUUAAGAUGGCGGCGUUUGCACGGAGUGCAAUCACUGCGUCCUUACGGGGGUUGCAAGGCGUCCGAAGUAUGAGUCCACUAACAAAAGUCCAGAAACUCGCCAGUUAAUAGUAUUGUGUCUCUUCAAAAUAUCGGAGAAUAAUUUCUUUCUCGCUGAUCGCCUAACUUCUACUGACGAAGCUUGGAAGUUGCAGAAGUUUCUUCAAAGGAAAGAAGCAACUGGAACACACAUAUAACACUAACCCUUCCAGCUGCAUUAUGAGGGACCAGUACCUGUCUCAAGGCAAAAUUAUGACUUAGUUCAUCCUCACCUCUGGAGGCCAGUAAAAGUGGGUUAUAGAAGAACAAAGAGGCAUCUAGAUCUUUCACUGGGUUAUUUGGAGAGAAACAUCUCCUACCGAAGGCCAGUUUAACAAGACUGGUAGAGGAGGUUAUCUUAUCUAAUUCACAGAAAUCAACACAUUGAGUCAAGAAAAAUGAAACACAGAAACACUCUAAAUAAAAGAAGAUAAGUCUUCAGAAACCAACCCUAAUGAAAUGAAGAUAUGUGAUUAACCUGACAGGAAAUUAAAAAGAGCAACCAUAAAGAGUCUCAUGGGAGCAAUGCAUGAACAAACUGAGAAUUUUCAUAAAGAAAUAAAAGAUAACAAAAAGUAUAAAGUUGAAGAAUACAAUAACUGGACUCAAAAAUUUAAUGUGUCCAACAGAAGAAUCGAUGAAGCAGAAGAAAGGGCUAUCAAACUUGUAGAUAGGCCAUUGGAAAUCAUGUAAUGUGAGGAGAAAAAAGAAAAAAGAUUGAAGAUAGUUUAAGAGACUUUUGAGACAUCCUCAAAGGGGAAUAAUUUAUACAUUACCAGAUGGAGAAGAUAGAGGGAAAAGGACAGAAAACAUAUUUGAAGAAAUAAUGUCAGAAAACCUCAUAAUUCUGGCAAGGAAAUAGAAAUUUAGAUCUAAGAAUCUCGAACAUCAGGUAUGAUGAAUCCAAGGAGACUCACACCAAACCAUAUUGUAAUUAAAUAAAGGUUAAAGACAAUCUUCAGAGCAGCAAGGGAAUAGUCUCUUCUUACAUACAAAAUGAUCCACGGAAGACUGUCAGCAGACUUCACCAGAAAACUUUCACGCCAGAAGGCAGUCGUGAUAUAUACAAAAAGCUGAAAGGAAAACACUGCCAUCCAGGAAUACUAUCUCCAACUAUCCUGUGUUUCAAAAAUUAAGGAGAAAUAUAAAGUUCUCAAACAAAAGAUGUGGGAGUUUACCACCACUAGACCUGCACGGGAAGAAUUGCUAAAGGGAGUCCUUCAAGCUGUAGUAAAAGAGUGCUAAUUAGAAACAUGAAAACGUGAGUAUAAAACUCGCUGAUAAAAGUAAGUACAUAGUUGGCUGGGUGCGG
rnacentral:lncRNA from 1 species